CGAAAUUGUGGACAUCACAGGAGCAACCACAGCCAUCACAGCAGCAGCCAUCAGUGCAGCCACCAUCACAGCCACCACCACAGCCAUCAACAUUGCCACAGGCACAGGUGUGGCCAGGGCCACAGCCACCACAACCACAGCCACCACCUCAGCCAACACAACCAAGUGCUCAAGCCCGUUGUACUCAGCACACCUCCAAAUGCAAUCUCCAGGAUUCCCAAAGGCCAGGUCACCAGCCUACUUCAGCGGGGAUCUACUAAGCUGGAGGGCAAUCUCUGUAUCAACAACAGAUUCCAGGGUGGGCAGAAAAUCCUUACAGACUCUGGACUGGAGCCUGGGAGUGGGAGGUGGUCUCAUGAACCCAUGCCAAUCUAGCCCCAUCAGAAACACUGGGUAUUCACAACUCAAGUCUACCAAUUACAUACAGCAGUGGUGAUCCAGAGAUUGAACCCAGGACCCCAUGGCCAUCCCCAAAAUGCAGAUGAGCAACCACAUCUUCUCAGCAUCCAGCAAUAUCUCCACUCCAAAAGCCACCCACUCUAGAAGAGGAGGCUGCCAGGAAUAAAAUCCCAAGGAGAGAUGAGGCCUCUGGGACCAGAGAGGGCCCUGGUGCUAAGGUGGUGGUGGAACAGAACCCAGCAGCCUUCAGCUGGAUACUGAUAGCUUCAUCUCCUGAA
rnacentral:lncRNA from 1 species